rnacentral:rRNA from 1 species
UUAACACAUGCAAGUCGAGGGGUAUAGUUCUUCGGAACUAGAGACCGGCGCACGGGUGCGUAACGCGUGGGAAUCUGCCCUUGGGUUCGGAAUAACAGUUAGAAAUGACUGCUAAUACCGAAUGAUGUCUUCGGACCAAAGAUUUAUCGCCCAAGGAUGAGCCCGCGUCGGAUUAGCUAGUUGGUGAGGUAAAGGCUCACCAAGGCGACGAUCCGUAGCUGGUCUGAGAGGAUGAUCAGCCACACUGGGACUGAGACACGGCCCAGACUCCUACGGGAGGCAGCAGUGGGGAAUAUUGGACAAUGGGCGAAAGCCUGAUCCAGCAAUGCCGCGUGAGUGAUGAAGGCCUUAGGGUUGUAAAGCUCUUUUACCCGGGAUGAUAAUGACAGUACCGGGAGAAUAAGCCCCGGCUAACUCCGUG